UACGUAGGGUGCGAGCGUUGUCCGGAUUUAUUGGGCGUAAAGGGCUCGUAGGUGGUGAGGUAAGUCGGAUGUGAAAGCUCGGAGCUCAACUCCGAAAUGGCAUUGGAAACUACCUUGCUCGAGGGUUGGAGGGGGGACUGGAAUACUUGGUGUAGCAGUGAAAUGCGUAGAUAUCAAGUGGAACACCAGUGGCGAAGGCGAGUCCCUGAACAACUCCUGACACUGAGGCACGAAAGCUAGGGGAGCAAACAGG
rnacentral:rRNA from 1 species